rnacentral:rRNA from 1 species
GGACUGCGUGGCGUCCAAGUACAAUAGGCCGUCAGUGGGACAUCAUAGAGGGUGACAAUCCCGUCCUUGACGCUAACGUACGAGUCCGUUACGAUGCCUAUCUCAGAGAGUCGAGCAGUUUGGGAUUGCUGCUUAAACAUGGGAGGUAGAUUCCUUCCAAAGCUAAAUACAGGCAAGAGACCGAUAGAGAACAAGUACCGCAAGGGAAAGAUGAAAUAGAACUCUGUGAAGGGAGUCAAAAGGCGUGAAAUUGUUGCGAGAGAAGCGAUUCAAGUCAGCGUAGCUAGGCCCAUCAAGCCUUCGAGCUUUGGACUAGCUUUGCCAGCGGUCUUGUCCCUAGAAGAGACUUGACUAACGUGCCCAGCCCAGUCUGCAUGGGUAGCCCCCUCUGGGGGCCAGUGGCAUGGCUGGUGGAAUGGCUUGCAAUCGACCCGUCUUGAAACACGGACCAAGGAGUCUAACAUGUAUGCGAGUAUAAGGGUGGCAAACCCGUAUGCGCAAAGAAAGUGAUAGCCUUGACGGCUGAGAAUGACCUGAUGACCAGACAAGCAAUAUAUGUUCCUCGUACGGUCAUUGCCCAAGUCCCAUGGUCAGAUCCCAUGGACAUGGAGUUGGAGCGUGCAUGCUAGGACCCGAAAGAUGGUGAACUAUGCCUGGACAAAGCGAAGCCAAAGGAAACUCUGGUGGAGGCUUGUAGCGAUUCUGACGUGCAAAUCGAUCGUCUGAUCUGGGUAUAGGGGCGAAAGACUAAUCGAACCAUCUCAUAGCUGGUUCCUGCCGAAUCUGGGUAUAGGGGCGAAAGACUAUCA